GACAGAGGUGCCAAGCGUUAGGCGGAAUCACUGGGCUUAAAGCGUGUGUAGGCGGGUCGUUAAGUACCUUGUGAAAUCCCCCGGCUCAACCGGGGAACGGCUGGGUAUACUGGCGAUCUCGAGCCACCUAGGGGCAGUCGGAACAAGUGGUGGAGCGGUGAAAUGCGUAGAGAUCUGGAAGAACACCAAAGGCGAAGGCAGCAUCCUGGGAAGUUCCUGACGCUCGGGUGCGAAAGCCAGGGGAGCGAACGGG
rnacentral:rRNA from 1 species